rnacentral:rRNA from 1 species
CAAUAGCGUAUAUUAAAGUUGUUGCAGUUAAAAAGCUCGUAGUUGGAUUUCUGGUUGAAGCGACCGGUCGGGCGUUGAUUCGUCUGCACUGGAGUCGGUUUUGGCCAUCCUCUAGGAAAGUGCGUCUGGUAUUAAGUUAUCGGGCGUAUGAUCCUGGUCUUUUACUGUGAAAAAAUUAGAGUGUUUAAAGCAGGCCUUCGCCUUGAAUACAUUAGCAUGGAAUAAUAAGAUAGGACUUUGGUCUAUUUUGUUGGUUUGCAGACCGAAGUAAUGAUUAAUAGGGAUAGUUGUGGGUAUUUAUAUUCCGAUGUCAGAGGUGAAAUUCUUAGAUUUUCGGAAGAUAAACUUAUGCGAAAGCAUUUACCAAGGAUGUUUUCAUUAA